CUUGAAAGCUUCCAGUGAUAAAGCUCCCACAAUCUCUGAAGAAUCACAGAUUCAUUCAUUCUGUUGCACCAUCUGAAAGCUGACUGAAAAAAACAUGAAGAUUUGAUGCAUCUAGUAAAGCAAAUGGAUACCCAGAUUUGUAUUACACCCAGAAUCACAAACUAUCAUCCAACCACAUUGUAAUGCUAAUCAUUAACGAAUAUUAUGCAAUUAGGUCAUGGUUUUAUGUUUAGAUGUAAUGUAUGAACUACCAAAAUGAAGAAAAAAAAACCCAAGAAAGUUGAGUUGCCUUUGGGUUUCUCCAAAUGUGCUCUCUUCUCACAAUACAAAAGCUCUGAGUUCAUCUUUCAGAGAACAAACCUUUGAUCAUCAUUAAGCUUGAUUACAACUUGAUUUCAUUAGGUUUAGAUUUUUAACUAGGCCAAUAUUUUAUCUUAGAAAAAGAAAGCAUCUAUUGUUAUUUCUUACUGAGGAAUCCAGUUAAAUGUCCUUGGAACUGCAGGAUUCCCUGAAUAACAGCUUGAAUAUAUCUCUUAAUUGAAACUUUGAAUCGUCUGGGAAUUGCUGGAACAUAUGGAGUUCUUCCACAAAAAUAAUACAUGCAGUUUCUGAUUUUCACAAAGCUCUCUAGCUAUGUAACAAAACUAGAAUAAUAAGGGAUUCUGUUGUGAAACUAUUUUACUUUAAAAAACAAAACACUGUUGAUAUCUGUAAUGAAAACCAGCAGUACUUUUCUAUAAAUCAGUACACUGAAAGAUUUUUGGGAUCACCACACAAAGUUUUCAAUAUCAUGCCACAAAUGAUAUCCUAUAGGUAGCAUUCCAAAAUGAAAUUUAAACUCUGUGUAUGUGGGCACACAGGCAUGUGUUGUGAUGGCUCAAAUCAGGUGAGCUCACCAAACUGCAUGAAACUCUGGAUUACCUCUUUAAAUGCCAAAUUCUGUAAGAUUUCAAGAAAGAGUAUCAAAGCCUUGUGAAAUUUGGUAAUUUUGCAAACUUUUGGCCAGGUUAAUUUAUUUUGACGGGACAUUAUAGAUCAUCAGAAGUUUCCUAAAAGGCCACAGGUUGGAAAACUUCAGUGUAUUUAUUUCUUGAAAUUAAAAGGGAUACGUCCAACAAGUAAUUUGUUGUGUUUCAGGUUAAUGGGCUAUUUUCAAGUAAAUCUAAGUAAGAGUUGAAUUUGUCUCUGAAAGUCUUUCACCAGUAAAAUUAAUAGGGUAUAAAAUCAUAUAGAAAUGAAUAAAUAGUUACUCCCAUGGAAUGUAUAAAAUAAAUGGGAACAGAGUAAAGAACAAUUUCCACAAAAAUGAAUUGCAAAAUUAGGAAAAAGGUUAAAAAGCAGGGCGUAUUUUUCUCACCAGUAUUUACUUGUUAUUGUCUGCUAAGCCAUAAAU